AUAUGAUGAGAUUAUCUAGCUGGCACCAGUCAGAGAAGGAGGAUCAUCGAUCCAUCCUUGUUGCUGAUUAGCUCAGGUCCGGGAACGCUACCCGCGAUCUCUGAA
rnacentral:snoRNA from 1 species